rnacentral:rRNA from 1 species
CCCCGCAAGGGGCAACUGAGUGGCGAACGGGUGAGUAACACGUGGGUGACCUACCCUCGAGUGGGGGAUAACAUCCCGAAAGGGGUGCUAAUACCGCAUGACAUCCUGUCUUUGAACAGAUGGACAUUAAAGCCGGGGAUCGCAAGACCUGGCGCUCGUGGAGGGGCCCGCGCCCGAUUAGCUAGUUGGUGAGGUAACGGCUCACCAAGGCUUCGAUCGGUAUCCGGCCUGAGAGGGCGGACGGACACACUGGGACUGAGACACGGCCCAGACUCCUACGGGAGGCAGCAGUGGGGAAUUGUUCGCAAUGGGCGAAAGCCUGACGACGCAACGCCGCGUGGAGGACGAAGAUCUUCGGGUCGUAAACUCCUUUCGAUCGGGACGAAUGAUCGGUGAUCUAAUACAUCACCGGAAUGACGGUACCGAGAGAAGAAGCCCCGGCUAACUCCGUGCCAGCAGCCGCGGUAAUACGGGGGGGGCAAGCGUUGUUCGGAAUUACUGGGCGUAAAGGGCGCGUAGGCGGCCAUCUAAGUCAGACGUGAAAUCCCUCGGCUCAACCGAGGAACUGCGUCUGAUACUGGAAGGCUGGAAUCCGGGAGAGGGAUGUGGAAUUCCAGGUGUAGCGGUGAAAUGCGUAGAUAUCUGGAGGAACACCGGUGGCGAAGGCGGCAUCCUGGACCGGUAUUGACGCUGAGGCGCGGAAGCUAGGGGAGCAAACGGGAUUAGAUACCCCGGUAGUCCUAGCCCUAAACGAUGAGUGCUUGGUGUGGCGGGUAUCGAUCCCUGCCGUGCCG